rnacentral:lncRNA from 1 species
UUCAAAUGACAGUAUUAAUGAAAGACAACAGAAGGUGACUCCGACGCUUGCGAGCGGAAUGACAGGUAUACCUUAAAGUCUCCUCAGCAACUCAAACAGCUAUCUAACGUUCGGCACGCUCCGAGGUACCUAGAUUUGCAUAAAAAUAUGAAGAAGCAUAAUGAGUACACCGCAACGGUACCCAGUAUGUAUCAAGACUAACCUCGAUGGAGUAGUUAUGAGGUACAAGUCAAGACACUCAUUAGACAUAAAAAGCUAACAAUAGAAAGAAUAUUAAUGUAAAUCUAACAAUAGAAAGAAUAUUAAUAUAAAUCUAACAAUAGAAAGAAUACUAAUAUAAAAGAACUCAGAUAGUUAGUAGUUUCAUACCCAACUUCACACAUUUUCUAAUCAAAAAGCCAAUUCAUUUAUGAAAUUUCUUAGUGUAGGUAAUGAAAUAAGAUUCCAGUGUUCAAACCCAAAACUUAGUACACUAUGAAAAGACAGUUUCAGCUUUUUCUUUCACUUGCACUCUAGAACACCAUUUCAAGCAGAAUUCUACCUAGACUUGAGCUAAUGUCAUAUAUAUAAAUCUUGGGUUCUAACUAAGCAAAUCACCUAAAGCAUAAUGAGUAUAAUGAAACAUAGGUUUUCAAACACCAUGCUCAUUCCCUUAUAAAAAAUUUAAGACACUACUACAAGCUCCUUUAAAUUGUGAAAUAGACAUCUCCAGGUCUCAAAAUUUUCAAUAAUCUAGCAUAUGUUGAUCAGGAUAACUUGGAAUUAUUCAUUCUAACAGAUUGAAUAACAACUUUGAAUAUUAUUAGAACGUAAAUAAACAACCUUAUCUACUUGAUCAAAUAACAAACCCUAUUAUAUUAGUUCCCGUGACAUCAAAAUCUUAAUGAAUAUUUCAGCACUUAGUUUAGUACUACUUACAGUAUUUUUUUUCUACCAUUUGAGCUAAAGUUUGGAGAUUCCUGCAAUAGGGGAAAAAAAGAAAAGAAAAAAGAAAACCACUAAUUAGGCCCCUCAAAAUUAAAAGAUGAUCUAAAAUUGAGUCGGUCAUGAUAUCAUUGCAAGCUUUAUCUUCUGUAUAAAAUGAGAGACUUUAUGUAGACAUUUCUGCACCUAAAUAUUAGCAAGAAUGCAAUAUUUGAAGGCUCAUUACAGUUCUAGUAUUGGAAGAAAAAUAAAUAUGUAAAUGUGUCAAUAAAGAAAAACAUAAAUCUACAACUUAGACAUUCGUAUGUAUAAAAAGCCAUAAACAACAGCCCAUGAGCACUAGUAAGAAGUAAUGUCCAACAUCCAUGAGGCGUCAAAUUUAUUGGCAAAUGAAAUAAGGUACAACAAUACCUGAAAUUCAAUAUGCAUAGGAUCUUGGACGUACUUCUCCAAAUAAAUGCCAUCAUUUACUAAUGCAAUUGUUGCCUCACUGUUACCUUAAUGUAUAGUGAAAAGUAAACCAAAGUAAAUCGGGUAAUAGUGUGUGACUACAAAGCAAGAAAAAAGACUUGCAAAAGGAUAUUGCUUCAAUUUAUAAAAGAGUAAGUGAUUACCAUAUACAAAUGUCUUUUAUAUAAUUAACUCAAACAGAUAUCUUACUGUAACUUGGAACAUGUCUUAAAGGAAGUUCUUCAAGAAAACAAGUCCGAUUUUAUAAAACUUUCUUAAUAGUGUCAUGAAGAUUCACAAACAAGCCAGUUGAUAGAUUUCUUCAAAGAGCUCAUAAAUAAUUAAAUCAGAGCUUUUCGCAGGAAAUCAGUUUAGAACUAAGUAAUAAAAGUGAAAUGGAC